AAGACCGUACUUACUAGGAUCAUUUCUAUAGUACGCGUCCCGUCUUUGUCCAUCAACAAAGAUAACAUCCCCAACCACGAUGAGGAGGUAUAGCCCGCCUCCCUGAGCAAGAAGCGUGGUCCAGGAGAUCCUCUCGAGGAACUCCUGGCCAAUUGAUGAUUGCUCCCGCGGUACUUUAGUGACCGCGCGGAUGGGCGGCGGGCAAGCUGAGUGGU